CAGCAGCCGCGGGAAUACGAAGGGUGCAAGCGUUAAUCGGAAUUACUGGGCGUAAAGCGUGCGUAGGCGGUUUGUUAAGUCUGUUGUGAAAUCCCCGGGCUCAACCUGGGAAUGGCAAUGGAUACUGGCAAGCUAGAGUGUGUCAGAGGAUGGUGGAAUUCCCGGUGUAGCGGUGAAAUGCGUAGAGAUCGGGAGGAACAUCAGUGGCGAAGGCGGCCAUCUGGGACAACACUGACGCUGAGGCACAAAAGCGUGGGGAGCAAACAGGAUUAGAUACCCCGGUAGUCCCUGUCUCUUAUAC
rnacentral:rRNA from 1 species